rnacentral:rRNA from 1 species
AAGCCGUUGAGUCUAUGCUGCCUAGAAAAGCUCCUAAGUUUAUCCACAGCAAUCCGUACCGCAAACCAACUCAGGUGGGUGGGAUGAACAAUCCAAGGCGCUCGAGAGAACUCUGGCCAAGGAACUCGGCAAAAUAACCCCGUAACUUCGGAAGAAGGGGUGCUCUCUAGGGUGACAUGUUUAACAUAUGAAGCCCCGGGGAGCCGCAGUGAAUUGGUGGUGGCGACUGUUUACUAAAAACAUAGGUCUGUGCGAAGUCCUAAAGACGACGUAUACGGACUGACGCCUGCCCGGUGCUGGAAGGUUAAAAGGAGGGGUCAGCGCAAGCAAAGCUCCGAAUUGAAGCCCCAGUAAACGGCGGCCGUAACUAUAACGGUCCUAAGGUAGCGAAAUUCCUUGUCGGGUAAGUUCCGACCUGCACGAAUGGCGUAACGAUCUCCACACUGUCUCGGCCAGAGACUCGGUGAAAUUGCAGUCGCGGUGAAAAUUCCGUGUACCCGCAGAAAGACGGAAAGACCCUGUGCACCUUUACUAUAGCUUGACAUUGGAUUUUGGGCCUGCAUGUGUAGGAUAGGUGGGAGGCUGUGAACCCUGUACGCCAGUAUGGGGGGAGCCAUCCUUGAAAUACCACCCUUGCAUGUUUAAGAUCCUAACUUCUUCCGGUUAUCCCGGAGAAAGACAGUGUCUGGCGGGUAGUUUGACUGGGGCGGUCGCCUCCUAAAGUGUAACGGAGGCAUGCAAAGGUUCCCUCAGCCUGAUCGGAAACCAGGCGCUGAGUGCAAACGCAUAAGGGAGCUUGACUGUAAGAGAGACAUCUCGAACAGGAACGAAAGUUGGCGUUAGUGAUCCGGUGGUCCCGAAUGGAAGGGCCAUCGCUCAUUGGAUAAAAGGUACGCCGGGGAUAACAGGCUGAUCGCAUCCAAGAGUUCACAUCGACGAUGCGGUUUGGCACCUCGAUGUCGGCUCAUCACAUCCUGGGGCUGAAGCAGGUCCCAAGGGUACGGCUGUUCGCCGUUUAAAGUGGUACGCGAGCUGGGUUUAAAACGUCGUGAGACAGUUUGGUCCCUAUCUUCUGUGGGCGAAGGAGAAUUGAGAGGGCCUGUCCCUAGUACGAGAGGACCGGGAUGGACGCACCCCUGGUGAUCCUGUUGUCGCGCCAGCGGCAUAGCAGGGUAGCUAUGUGCGGAAGGGAUAACCGCUGAAAGCAUCUAAGCGGGAAGCCUGCCUCAAGAUAAGUUCUCCCCUCGAAAGAGCUGAAGGGCCCGGGUAGACUACCCGGUCGAUAGGCUGGAGGUGUAAGCGCGGCGACGUGCUCAGCUGACCAGUACUAAUAGCCCGAGCGGCUUAUUU